rnacentral:rRNA from 1 species
UACGGAGGGGGCUAGCGUUGUUCGGAAUUACUGGGCGUAAAGCGCACGUAGGCGGAUCAGCCAGUCAGGGGUGAAAUCCCGGGGCUCAACCCCGGAACUGCCCUUGAUACUGCUGGUCUGGAGUUCGAGAGAGGCGAGUGGAAUUCCGAGUGUAGAGGUGAAAUUCGUAGAUAUUCGGAGGAACACCAGUGGCGAAGGCGGCUCGCUGGCUCGACACUGACGCUGAGGUGCGAAAGCGUGGGUAGCAAACAGGAUUAGAUACCCUGUA